GAUGAACGCUAGCGGCAGGCCUAACACAUGCAAGUCGAGGGGCAGCACAGAAACAGCAAUGUUUUGGUGGCGACCGGCGGACGGGUGCGUAACGCGUAUGCAACCUACCUUUAACAGGGGGAUAACGGAGAGAAAUUUCCACGAAUACCCCAUAACAUCGAUCAAGGCAUCUUGAUUGGUUUAAAACUCCGGAGGUUAAAGAUGGGCAUGCGUUGUAUUAGGUAGUUGGUGAGUUAAUGGCUCACCACGCCUACGAUACAUAGGGGGACGGCGAGGUUAGCCCCCCACACUGGUACUGAGACACGGACCAGACUCCUACGGGAGGCAGCAGUGAGGAAUAUUGGUCAAGGGGGGCAACCCUGAACCAGCCAUGCCGCGUGCAGGAAGACGGCUCUAUGAGUUGUAAACUGCUUUUAAACAGGGAUAAAGCACAGUAUGUAUACUGUGUUGAAGGUACUGUAAGAAUAAGGAUCGGCUAACUCCGUGCCAGCCGCCGCCGUAA
rnacentral:rRNA from 1 species